AUUGAACGCUGGCGGCAUGCUUUACACAUGCAAGUCGAACGGCAGCACGGGGCAACCUGGUGGCGAGUGGCGAACGGGUGAGUAAUAUAUCGGAACGUACCCAAGAGUGGGGGAUAACGUAGCGAAAGUUACGCUAAUACCGCAUACGAUCUAAGGAUGAAAGCAGGGGAUCUUCGGACCUUGUGCUCCUGGAGCGGCCGAUAUCUGAUUAGCUAGUUGGUGAGGUAAAGGCUCACCAAGGCGACGAUCAGUAGCUGGUCUGAGAGGACGACCAGCCACACUGGAACUGAGACACGGUCCAGACUCCUACGGGAGGCAGCAGUGGGGAAUUUUGGACAAUGGGCGAAAGCCUGAUCCAGCAAUGCCGCGUGAGUGAAGAAGGCCUUCGGGUUGUAAAGCUCUUUUGUCAGGGAAGAAACGGUCGUGGCUAAUAUCCAUGGCUAAUGACGGUACCUGAAGAAUAAGCACCGGCUAACUACGUGCCAGCCGCCGCCGUAA
rnacentral:rRNA from 1 species